AGCCCUACUCUCAAAAACUGAAAGGGAUGUAACAGUGUCUGUGAAGCUGGACUUAAGAAAUAACUGCUUAAAGUUUUAAAAGGAUGUUUAGCACCAUCUUCUGUCAGCACGGGAUGUUAUGUCACCAGGUCGGUCGGUUGGUUGGUUGCAGCAAAUACACUUACAUUAGUUUAUCUUAGCUAACUAGUGACAGAAUUGAUAACUUGGAGGAAAAUAAGGACACUAAACCUAAAAAUCAGUUUAAGGGGAUCAGUUUCAGGCUGCAAGAAACCAAGGAUAUACUGUCCACUUUGACUGUCUUUGUCUCUAGCAGUAUUUGGCUCCUUGUUAUUUGACUAGUUGCACUGAAAAGGGAAAAUCCAGUGGUUAGCUGUAAUGUAACUAACAGCUAGCAGAUACUGCAUGUUAGCUGCAAUGUAAUAUCAGGUCCUUAAGCUUCUUAGUCAUUAUUUUUAGUUUGUAUUCUGUUUUUGGUUGGUGUUAGAGUUGUUCUUUAUAUUUGAUUCUUUUCUUUAGUUUAGUCUAGCCUCUCUAGUAUUCCCUCCCAUCUUAUUAUCUACUCUAUCUCUGUCUUAGGUAUUAAUGUUGUGUUAUUUACCUUUAAUCCUGCUGGCUUGCCUUUAAAGUCUGUUUUUUUUUUUUUAGCUCCCUUUAAAUAAGGUUUAUAACAUAUUUACACAAUGGGUGAAGUUAAGACAGUCUAACACGUUGUUUGUGUUGUCUGGUAUGCAGUGGAAUGGUGAAUUAACUUCUCCACUUCUUUUAAAGAUUUUCUUUAAGCUCAGUUAAACUUUGUAUUCGUUCAGACAGGAACUUGAGCAAUGUCUGCCUAUAAUGGAAUAUUUCAUUUCAUUAAUUUUGACACCAAUUACUGAUCUAUGUACAUGUUUGACAAGUAAUAAACAAAAUGCUAAUGUUCUGCCAAUUCUAACUAAUGAAUAUAUUUAAAGUACAGUGUAUUGGAAGUGUAGAUCUUUUAUGACUUGUGUCAAAUAUGGUAAAUGGACUGGAUCAUAAAUAGUACUUUCCUACUAUACCUGAGCAAUCAAAGUGCUUUAUACAACUUGCCUUAUUUAGGCAAAAGAGAAGGCAACUUGGGGUUAGGAUAUUUAGCAUGGAGCAGCCCUGGAUCGAACCACCAAUCUUCCAACUAGUAGAUGCUCUACCUCCU
ensembl:lncRNA